rnacentral:lncRNA from 1 species
UCAGUCCCCGUCUGAAUGGGAUUUGUUUAUGGUCUGCUGUUUUCCUCUUCUCUUAGGAAAUCUCGACUUUCUAUACUUGGAAAUACAUACCUAUCAAAUGACUGAAGAAAAAUGGAGAGCUUUUCUUAUACGGGAUUGAGCUGCACGUGCAGGCCUACACCACAACCACAGCAACACCAGAUCUGAGCCAUGUCUAUGACCUACACCACAGCUCAUGGCAACACCAGAUUCUUAACCUACUGAGCAAGGCAAGGGAUCAAACCCACAUCUUCAUAGAGACAACGUCCGGUCCUUAAUAUGCUGAGCCACAAUGCAACCCCAAGGUUUUUGAUUUUGUUUUGUUUUUAGACAAUGACUUGUUCUGUGCUCACUCUGUUCCAGUCAGGGACCAGCCAAAAGCUUAAUAUAUUUCAUUAUUUCAUCCUCACCCAUGAGCUAAGGGUGGAUACUUCUAUUAUCCCCAUUUUUAGCAGAGGGCGAGGGUCUCCUGCCUAUCCCAUGGUUGGUAAGUAGGGGGCCCAGGGAUUCCAAAAAGCUUUUUGUGGGGAUUAAGUGAAUUGAUAUUUUUAAUGUACUUAUCACUGCCUGGCCCAUAGAAAAUAUUAUCUAAAUGUUAGCAGUUAUUGUAAUGAUUUUAGAAGAUCCUCUCCCAGUUCUUUCUCUCCUACUGACAGAGCUAGAGUUUUCACCUCUUUCUACCCCUACUUUGAACAAACCUGAGAAGACCUGUGUUCACUCCUUUCCUAGCAGGGCCAACAGAUUCUGGUGAAGUAAAGCUUCUCUAGUCAACAUGAUUUAUAAGGAAUAAGAAGAGAGAGAAAGCAGCUUCUCAGAAUAUGGAGGGGGUUGGUGACUCCAGUAGGGUGAAAAGUGGACUGUAGGAAUUAUUGGUGAGAAGGGAGAGAGCACAGAAAAUCAGAGCCCUGUGCUUGGCCUCCAGAAGCCUCAGUUAGCAAAGAGGGCCCCCCCUUCCAAUUACAGCCAUCCCUUGGUAUCCCCCAGGGAUUGGUUCCAGGAUCCCUAUGGGUACCGAGGUCCACAGAUGCUCAAGUUCCUCACAUAAAAUGGCAUUGUAUUUGCAUAUAACCUAUGCAUGUGCUCCCAUAUACUUUAAAUCAUCUCUAGGUUACCUAUAAUACCAAAUACAAUGUAAAUGCUAGGUAAAUAAUUGUAAAUACAAUGUAAAUUCUAUGUAAAUAGUUGCUGGUGUGGAGCAAAUUCAAGUUUUUCUUUUUGGAACCUUCUGGAAUUUUUUUUUUCCCCCAAAUAUGUUCAAUCCAUGGUAGGUUGAGUUUGUGCAUGUGGAACCUCAGAUACAGAGGGCUGACUGCAGUGCAAAGGGAUGAGGUAGUCACAUUGAAAGCUCAGUGACCAGUCCCAUAUCCUUCACUGCCUAGUCCUCUACAAUUGGCCCUUUCACUUGAACCACUGAACUGCUGAAAUUCUCUGUAUGGUCUAGUGGUUGUAUAUGGUUGAUCCUUGAAUAAUACAGGUUUCAACCACACAGGUCGACUUAUAUGUGGAUUUUUUCAAUAAUAAAUACUGUGGUAAUACUCCAUCCAAGGUUGAUGUAAAACCUGUGGAUGCAGCGUUACAUAAGUUAUAUUCGGAUUUUCAACUGUGGAGAGGAUCGGCACCUCUAACUUAUGCAUUGUUCAAGGGCCGACUGUAUUUUACAUGAGCAUGGGUGAAAGAAGAAGUCACUGGAGCAGAGAAUAUGGUAGAUCUUUUUAUAUGGUCACAGACAGAUUACUAGGUAUCAAGGGCAAGCACCUGGAGUCAAUGAUGGGCCACAACAAUGAGGAAGAGCUUUUCACAUUAUCUUCCAUACCUAGAUAGCUGAAUGCAGGUGUUUCUGAUACACACAUAUCAGUGGAUUUGCAUGAACUAAUGAAUUCUUUUUACCAAUUUGUGUUAAGCUUCUGUCAUGUUUAGCCACAGAGUCCUGAUUAGUCAUGCCACAUAACUUGGGAAAAUAAUUUUUUUAUGUUAAAUACAAGGAGCGAUUUCCAAAGAACCCAAAGAACUGAAAUAGUAGAUGGAUUUAAUGUCCCUGAUUUUAGAGAACAAAGUCUCUGGUGGUAUUCUAGGUUAACUAAUUAAAGAUGAGAAGAUGAAUCAGGAUUUUGACACCGGAGUUAUGGAAGGUGCUAGUAUUUACACAUAUCUAAACUCUAACAUAAAAGCUGAAUUGGGACCGAGGGGCAAGGCUUCUUUUCUUUACCCUCAUGGAAGUCUGCUUCUAAAGUGAAUGUGCUGAUCCUAUUGACUUUAGGCAUCCUAGUUAUAUGGCACUUUAAAAAAAUGUACUGUACCAAGUGGCAUUUGGUGUUUAAUGCUUUAGUCUUCUGAAUUCAUUAAUAUGUGUCUACUCUUGGGAGGUGGCAGUGUUCCAGCGACUUAGCUAUUGUCAUUUCACUCCACAUUUAAGCUAUUCUAGUCUGCUCUGUGAUGAUGUAGUGGGACUUUGCAAACUACAUUUCCCAGAAUCCUUUGCCUGUUAGUCUCCCUGAGUAGCAGGCUCUACAAAGAAAUUAGAAUUUAGGAGGAGGAGAGGAGGGAUUUUCAUUGUGUUGACUUGGUACUCCUGUUAGUAAGGCUCCUACAGGUGUAUUUUGUUCCAGGCUCCAGCUUCUUUUGAUAUUUUGCUCCUUUGUCUCCUCUGUGGUACCUUGAGCAGUCACAUCUCCCUCCUCUGACUUUGGGUUCUGAUAGUCUAAACCCUCAUUUGUGUUUCCCUGGCCUAAGGGAUGGUAGCUGCACUUAUUAUCUCUGGGUGACCUCAGUGUUUCUAUUUUGCUCUUUUAGCCCCCCAAACCUGUGAAACCAAUUCCUUAUAUUUAAUUCCCUCUCAAAGUACUUGCUUUGGUAUCUGUUUUCCUGACUAGAUCCCAGGAAAUACAUCCAAAAAGAAGGAACUCUGGAAUUGGUUCAUUUAUGUUCUUGGCCUUGAAUAACUGCUUAAUGCCUUUGCAAUAAAAAAAAUGAGUUGUUAAUAAUCCAUGCAUUAGUAUCAUUACUAACUAAAUGGUCUUUUGUGGUUGAUUGUGAUAAAGUGUUUGCUGAAGCAAAUGUCUUGGAGACCAAGUGGCUACCAAAUGAAUCUUUUUGCCUGUAGUAAAACCUAUAAGAAUUAGAAACUAGAAUGUAGAGUAAGUCUUUUUGAUUGAACUGAUGAGCUUACUGAGAGAAAAUGACAAAUUCAGACAAAACUUUCAACUAAAGACACUAUUGGAGAAUCAGAGUUUCUGUAGCAGCCCUAAAAGAUUCUUUUACUUUCUGUAGUCACUGAGCUGACUUUGCUGAAGACCAGUUCAUAAUUCAAUUGUGUAUGUUGCAGAACUACAAUAAAGGUUGGUUUUAUAAGCUACCAAUCUCUUACUUGAAAGUUAAGACACUGAUUGGGAAGGAGUGACACCUAGAAUGGGGAACCUGUGUGAGUUCAGACAAAGCUGAACAUCUGGAACCCCUGAGUCUUACUUAGCCUCCUUUGCCUCCUGCUGUAUCUGAGGAAAUACUUUUCCUUACUCCAAGGCUGUAAUAAACUCACAUAAGCUGGUUUCAGUAAAAAAGGAUACUUGCCUUGUCAAAACUUACCAGCACCAUUUCUCAUGACCUCUACAACUCAAGUCAGGACAAAAAUGGGGAGAGUACAGCUGUUACCAAAUUCAGGUCUGGCUGCUCACUGCUUGAAAAUCAAUACCUGAGAGAUAGGGAAAUAUUGGUAGAAAAGAAAGUUUUUUCAAUCAGAAUGCUGGCAAUCUGGGGAGAUGGUGGACUCCCUGUCCCCCACCCCCAAACCAUCUCUGAAGAUUCUGCUCAACCAUAAAAGCUUUUAAAGGGAAAUCACUGAGAUGGGGGUCAAAGUGGUCACCAUCCUACACUACGUGCAGGCUUGUCGCUUUUUUGUGAUCUUUCUUUAUGGUUUGUGAGAUUACUGAAGGGGAUGCUGGAGAAGAGAUCUGGUCAUAUGUUAAUUACUUAUUCUCCAUUUCCUCUUUAAUCUAGAACCAACAGGUUAGGCAAGGUAUUAUGUGAUCAAAAGAUGUGAAAGUUGUGCUAGGGCCAGAGAUGAAUAGAGCAUGGAGGUACCUGGUUUAAAGUUAGUGACCAGGCAAAAGGGGGCCUCCUGAAGAGAGCUCUUUCCUGCCAAGGGAUAUUUCCUGCCAAAUGUUGCUUAGAUAGCAAUGCUCAAAAAAAUUGUAAAAUUUGCUAUUAUAUAUUGGCAGAAACCUGGUGAAUUUAUGUGGGAAUGGAUUUUCUGGUUGUUAGGUGAAGAUAGAUGGAAUAUAACUUUGGAUUAGGCUAAGUUUAUUGAUAUGAGUUCACGGAGAGUUUGGAUUUAAUAUGUUGGUGCAAGUAGCUGGAAGCAGCUGUAACUGCUUGCUUGGUUGAUUGAAUGAAACUUGGAUUCAAUUAUUGUCUUCAUUCAGUUAGGUGGAGAUGCCAAAAUUUCGAGGCAUAACAUUGAGGAAGGAAUUCAAAGGUUUAGGGAGUUGGGAACUUUGGAGUGGGUUAAUCAUAUACGGUCUCAUACUGCCCUACUCUUCUGCUAAAAUAUUAGAUAGGACCCAGCAAUUACUCCCUUCACUAAGGCAUAGAGAAAUAAAUUAGUGAGAGGAGCUCCAGCAUCCAUAAAAAUAACAAUGUGACUGUGGUGGCUGCUCUCUGGAGGCUAGGGGUGAGGGCAACAGAAUAUUUUAACUCACCGUGCACAGGAAAACACUGAGCCCACCCCACCCUCCUCCAAAUUUAAGUUUGUUGGGAGUAGAUGUAGAGCAAGAACCCGUAUCUAUUAACUUUCAGUCUGAGACCCUUCAUUCAACUUGAUUUAUGCCAAUAUCCAUCAGAUUGUUUUGGUGUGUUCUUCAAGGCUUAAAUGAUUUUAUACAUUUAUUUUCAUGCACAUUUGUUUUCUCUCUCAUGAAUAACUCAUGGGUAGAAAAUCAUGAGACAAUCCCAUAACAUGCAAAAUAAAAAAUUGCAAUCCAUUGGAGUCAUUCUGCUGCAAGCAUGUUUAUGCUGCUUUUAAGCUACAAAGGCAGAGCUGAAAGUUGCAAAAGAGACCUUAUGACUUCCAAAGCCUAAAAUGUUUACUAUAUAGCCCUUUAGGAAAAAGUUUGCUCGCCUCUGCUCCAAAAAUGAAAAUAUUGCAGACAAAGCUUAAGUUCUUUGGGGGUUCCCAUUUUGAUACAAUGGUAUGGGCAGCAUUUCUGGACCCCUGAAUCACAAGUUCAAUCCCUGGCCUAGCUCAGUGGGUUAAGGAUCUGGUGUUGUGGCUGUGGCAUAGGUUGCAACUCCAUAUGCUGCAGGAUGGCCAAAGAAGAAGAAAAAAAGCUUAAGUUCUUAGUAAUUACUCCUCUUUUUGUCAGUAUAAAUUCAGUAAUAUUAUGUUUCCAUGUUUGUAGAUUAUUUGUAGAUUUAAAUAACUGUGAUUUCUCUGUCACUAGGAAAGAUGGGGGCAAAGUUCUCAAAAGACAGAGCAGAAUGUCUAUCUCCUAAAGAAGGUAGGCUACUCGAUCUCCCUUUUCAUGGGCAUGUUUUAAAGAUUAUAAUUACCACAGAGAACUUUUACAGGUCACUGAUAAAAUGCAAAGUUGCCUCCUGAUGAUUAAGAGGUAAUUUUACUUGUUCCAAUUGUUAACUAUUUCCAAUUCACUACAUUAAAAAAAACCCUUUCCUCACUAAUAUUUAAAGGCCUGCUAAUUUGCCAAAUUUAAAAGUGGUACACAUUCAUUAUGUAAAAUUGGAGAAAUAUUAAAAAGUAGAAAGAAAAAAUAUAUAUAACUCUCUGGACCAACCACCUAAAGACAACCAUGGUUAACAAUCUGCUUUCUUUCCUAGCAUUAAUUUUAAUUGAAAAAUGCUCAGUAAAUACAAAGAAAAAAUUAUGCAUCAUUAUUUUCUGACUGUUUCUAGCUUAGCUUCAAAUGUAAUAUUUAUGGACUAUUUAGUCAAUAAAUAAUUAGUUG